CUUCCAGCAGCCAGACGUGGUUCUUCCCCUUUAGAUGAGCUGCUGAUGUUACUCCUGGCAAUGGAGGUAAAGGAGACGUUCUGGCUGGGCUCGAGUCCUGGAUGCUCUCUGCUGAUUGCUGUCUGAAGGUUUGCAAGAUAAAGCCUUGA
rnacentral:lncRNA from 1 species